AAGAAGACAACGUAUACAAUAACAGAGUGUAUAGAGAUAAAUGUCACAAUAACAUCAGAGUAUUUAUUACAUAGCGAAAGUCUUAUUACAAAAUAAAAGAUAAAUAUGAAACGAACUAAGGAUCAUCCUUGGCGCCAAUAAGUCAACUAGGAAACGCCACCUAGAUCAGAUCGAACUCCUCAUUGUGCGGCUCCUCCUGAACCACCUGUUCUUCUCCUGUGGGGGUGAGACAACAAGGGUGAUCUCACACAUGAUCAUAGCUCAACAAAUUGUGGGGAAACCAGAGGGCAUGAACUCACCGAAGGUGGGAGUCCAUGUGAUGUGUAAGGCUAAUCAACAACAGGGGUUAAAGCUGAGCAUUGCUUUUAAUUAGUUAGUCAAAAUUUUAUUAAUAGU
rnacentral:lncRNA from 1 species